GUCUUAAUAGUAUAAACAUUACAAUGGUCUUGUAAACCAUAAAUGGGGAUACACCCCUUAAGACU
rnacentral:tRNA from 1 species